ensembl:lncRNA
AAGGUAACAUAUAAUAACAGAAUAAUCUAAUAUUGAACAAUCUGUCUUCACGUCACUGAUGGUGGUAUAGAAAAGUCUUAGACAUGCUCUUGGCAGACAGGGGAGGUGUGUGUUCAGUGUUUGCUAUUAUUUGCUCCACUUUUGUUCUGAAACACACAACUUCAGGAGACAUUGAUGGAGUACCGUUGAGGACCUGGAAAGUGAGGACAAGAAUCAAGGAAGUUAGCAUGAUUAUCCACUUGAAUGCGUUGAAUCUUUCUGACCAGUUGAUCACCAAAAGGCAGAUCACACGAAGCCCUGUUUAACAGCUCGUUUGGAAGUACUGUUAGUUUUUCAAAGAGCAGCAGGAUUGUGGGGUCGCAAAUUUUAAAGGCUUUGCAGAAUUUCUAUAGGCUGGAAAGAUGUUGAUUCAGGCUUUUGGAACACAAUUGAAACCAAAACACAAAAUCUACAGGAGAUGAGUGAAGUGUGAUGCCAACAGUUUUAUUGAACAUACAAGAUUAACAAAGAUUUAGAAGAAAGAAAAGCCCACUAGGGUGUUCGCCAUAAGUACAUGCAGGCCAAACACCAAUCAAGAUAAAUAAAGAUGAAGACUCCCGGGACUCUUCUGAGGUCCUUUUACAAAACAACAGCUGGGUAUCAACAGGUGUUCACAUAACAGUAGUGCAAGCUAUGUUAAAAAUAUGAAUAAUAAAUGACCUAAGUAUAUGGGUCACAAACAAUACGAGAACUUGAAUCAACCGCCUAACAUUGUCAUUCCCUAAAAUAUUCCCUUUCCAUCUACAAAGCACUUCCCAUUAAUGUCAAUCUAGUGUAUAAAUUCAUUAAAAAAAAAACCAAAAUCCCAACAGGAGUUCUGGCAGUGUGCAAGUUAGCGAACAGUGUACAGUUAGUAAACUGUCUCAUGCUUUAAACACCUUCAAACUGUGAACUUCAGAGAAAAAACUGAUUUCAAUAAAGGCUACCGCAUGUACACGGGUAGUUUUUUUAAACUGAUAUUUCCAAGUGUGAUUCUGAGAAAUAGUUCUUUUAUGUCAAGACCCAAAAAUAUCUCAAGCACUGUUGAGGCCAUGCCAAAGAAAAUGAAGAAACUUCAGUAAAGACAAAGCCCAUAAACAAUAAAAAAUGGAUGUCAGAAAAUGUGAUAAAGGUGCAAACAUUUCAUGUUGCGAGACAAAC